rnacentral:rRNA from 1 species
AUUGAACGCUGGCGGCAGGCCUAACACAUGCAAGUCGAGCGGGGUUUUCGGACCUAGCGGCGGACGGGUGAGUAAUGCGUAGGAAGCUGCCCGAUAGAGGGGGAUACCAGUUGGAAACGACUGUUAAUACCGCAUAAUGUCUACGGACCAAAGUGUGGGACCUUCGGGCCACAUGCUAUCGGAUGCGCCUACGUGGGAUUAGCUAGUUGGUGAGGUAAUGGCUCACCAAGGCGACGAUCUCUAGCUGGUUUGAGAGGAUGAUCAGCCACACUGGAACUGAGACACGGUCCGGACGCCUACGGGAGGCGGCAGUGGGGAAUAUUGGACAAUGGGCGCAAGCCUGAUCCAGCCAUGCCGCGUGUGUGAAGAAGGCCUUCGGGUUGUAAAGCACUUUCAGCGAGGAGGAAGGGGUGUGUGUUAAUAGUACACACCUUUGACGUUACUCGCAGAAGAAGCACCGGCUAACUCUGUGCCAGCAGCCGCGGUAAAAC